UUGACCUCGGAUCAGGUAGGGAUACCCGCUGAACUUAAGCAUAUCAAUAAGCGGAGGAAAAGAAACCAACAGGGAUUGCCUCAGUAACGGCGAGUGAAGCGGCACGAGCUCAAAUUUGAAAGCUGGCUCCUUCGGGGUCCGCAUUGUAAUUUGCAGAGGAUGCUUCGGGAGCGGCCCCCAUCUAAGUGCCCUGGAACGGGCCGUCAUAGAGGGUGA
rnacentral:rRNA from 1 species